rnacentral:rRNA from 1 species
GACGAACGCUGGCGGCGUGCUUAACACAUGCAAGUCGAACGGAAAGGCCCUGCUUUUGUGGGGUGCUCGAGUGGCGAACGGGUGAGUAACACGUGAGUAACCUGCCCUUGACUUUGGGAUAACUUCAGGAAACUGGGGCUAAUACCGGAUAGGAGCUCCUGCUGCAUGGUGGGGGUUGGAAAGUUUCGGCGGGUGGGGAUGGACUCGCGGCUUAUCAGCUUGUUGGUGGGGUAGUGGCUUACCAAGGCUUCGACGGGUAGCCGGCCUGAGAGGGUGACCGGCCACAUUGGGACUGAGAUACGGCCCAGACUCCUACGGGAGGCAGCAGUGGGGAAUAUUGCACAAUGGGCGGAAGCCUGAUGCAGCAACGCCGCGUGCGGGAUGACGGCCUUCGGGUUGUAAACCGCUUUCGCCUGUGACGAAGCGUGAGUGACGGUAAUGGGUAAAGAAGCACCGGCUAACUACGUG